rnacentral:rRNA from 1 species
AGGACGAACGCUGGCGGCGCGCCUCAUACAUGCAAGUCGAGCGAGAAAUCCGGGGCUUGCCCCGGGUGGAGAGCGGCGAACGGGUGAGGAACACGUGAGGAACCUGCCCCGAAGACCGGGAUAACACCGGGAAACCGGUGCUAAUACCGGAUGCCCUCACCGGAUCACAGGAUGCGGUGAGGAAAUGGAUUCCGCUUCGGGAUGGUCUCGCGGCCUAUCAGCUAGUUGGUGGGGUAACGGCCCACCAAGGCUUCGACGGGUAGCUGGUCUGAGAGGAUGUCCAGCCACACUGGGACUGAGACACGGCCCAGACUCCUACGGGAGGCAGCAGUAGGGAAUCUUGCGCAAUGGGCGAAAGCCUGACGCAGCGACGCCGCGUGCGGGAUGAAGGCCUUCGGGUUGUAAACCGCUUUCAGCAGGGACGAAAUUGACGGUACCUGCAGAAGAGGCCGGCAACUACGUGCCAGCAGCCGCGGUAA